rnacentral:rRNA from 1 species
UACGUAGGGUGCAAGCGUUAAUCGGAAUUACUGGGCGUAAAGCGUGCGCAGGCGGUUUUGUAAGUCUGUUGUGAAAUCCCCGGGCUCAACCUGGGAAUGGCAAUGGAGACUGCAAGGCUAGAGUUUGGCAGGGAGGGGGUAGAAUUCCACGGUGUAGCAGUGAAAUGCGUAGAUAUGUGGAGGAACACCGAUGGCGGAAGGCAGCCCCCCUGGGUCAAAACUGACGCUCAUGCACGAAAGGCGUGGGGAGCGAAACAGG